rnacentral:rRNA from 1 species
UACGGAGGGAGCUAGCGUUGUUCGGAAUUACUGGGCGUAAAGCGCGCGUAGGCGGCUUUGUAAGUUAGAGGUGAAAGCCCGGGGCUCAACUCCGGAACUGCCUUUAAGACUGCAUCGCUAGAAUCCGGGAGAGGUGAGUGGAAUUCCGAGUGUAGAGGUGAAAUUCGUAGAUAUUCUGAAGAACACCAGUGGCGAAGGCGGCUCACUGGACCGGUAUUGACGCUGAGGUGCGAAAGCGUGGGGAGCAAACAGG